rnacentral:lncRNA from 1 species
UUCUCGUAUGCUAUGCUGUUCAUGCACAAUGUAAGUGGCACAAAUGCACCUUCUUCUUGUGCUUUCAAUCCAUUCGUUGCAUGGUCACAUGUCCAGGUAUUAAUAGUGUGUUUUUCUUAACAUUUGCGUAGGUCGAGCCACAGGCGUGCAUCACAUCGACGACGAUACGUGCUACAAGAGUGACACCAUCCUGUCGUGCUUUUUGUGUUACCCCGAUAACCAUUGCUUUAGGACGAUGGACGACUGCAAAGCCCACUGCAUACGACCUCCGGUGGCCGCAAUCCCAUCUUAUGCACGUCCAUGAGCGUGGGCGGUUAGUAUUAGCUGGAAGAAUGUAUUAGAUUUGUGUUAUGUGCCGAUGAGGAACGGAAAUUGGGAAUGGCUCCUAGGUGCAUAUGCAUCCAUUGUCUAAAUACACAUUUUGAAAAGUUGAAAAAUUCCAAACAAAAAUCCCGCGUGUAUAUCCGGACAUUCUAUGUGUGUGCACAAAGUUUUCAGUGAAAAACGAGGUUUUUUGUGGCUUAUCUAAAAAAGACAAAUUCUG